CGUGUAGGCGGCAUUACAAGUCCUGCGUGAAAGCUCCCGGCUAAACUGGGAGAGGUCGCAGGAAACUGUAGAGCUAGAGUACGGCAGAGGGACAUGGAACUCCGGGUGUAGUGGUGAAAUGCGUAGAUAUCCGGAGGAACACCAGAGGCGAAGGCGGUGUCCUGGGCCGAAACUGACGCUGAGACGCGAAAGCGUGGGGAGCGAACG
rnacentral:rRNA from 1 species